CAUGUCCUUUUGAUUAUAAUUUAAGGUCUAACCUGCUCAAUGAUUUUUAAAUUGCCGCAGUAUUCUAACUGUGCAAAGGUAGCAUAAUAAUUAGUUUUUUUAUUGAAAGCUGGAAUGAAUGGUUGGACGAAAAAAUUUCUGUCUCUUUCUAAUUUUUUUUUGAAUUUAAUUUUUAAGUUAAAAAGCUUAAAUUUUUUUAAAAGACGAGAAGACCCUAUAGAGUUUAAUUUUUUACUUUAUUUUUAAUUAUUUGGAAUUUAAAGUUUAAAUUUUGUUUAGAAUUUGGUUGGGGUGAUUAGAGGAUUUAUAAAACUCUUUUAAUUUAUAUCAUUGAUUUAUGAAUAUAAAGUCUAUAUUAAUAAUUUUAAAUUAAAUUACCUUAGGGAUAACAGCGUUAUUUCUUUUUAGAGUUCUUAUUUAAAUAGAAGUUUGCGACCUCGAUGUUGGAUUAAAAUUUAUUUUAGGUGAAGAAGCUUAAAAAUUUAGUCUGUUCGACUUUUAAAAUUUUACAUGAUCUGAGU
rnacentral:rRNA from 2 species